rnacentral:rRNA from 1 species
CGGACUGGUGAGUAACGCGUGAGGAACCUGCCUUUCGGAGGGGGACAACAGUUGGAAACGACUGCUAAUACCGCAUGACGUAUCGGGAUCGCAUGGUCUUGAUACCAAAGAUUUUACCGCCGAAAGAUGGCCUCGCGUCUGAUUAGCUAGUUGGUGGGGCAACGGCCUACCAAGGCGACGAUCAGUAGCCGGACUGAGAGGUUGGCCGGCCACAUUGGGACUGAGAUACGGCCCAGACUCCUACGGAAGGCAGCAG